rnacentral:rRNA from 1 species
AGAGUUUGAUCAUGGCUCAGGACGAACGCUGGCGGCGUGCUUAACACAUGCAAGUCGAACGAAGCACUUUGGUGAAGCUCUUCGGAGUGGAACUAAUUUGACUGAGUGGCGGACGGGUGAGUAACGCGUGAGCAACCUGCCUACAAGAGGGGGACAACAGCUGGAAACGGCUGCUAAUACCGCAUAAGACCACGCUAUCGCAUGGUAGAGGGGUCAAAGAUUUAUCGCUUGUAGAUGGGCUCG